UAUCCUGUGUAGCUUUACUUGGGGUUUCCAGACAAUAUCCAGCAGUUUGCGCUGACGAUGGAUCUCUUCCUCGUGCUGGAGGAUAAUACUUUCAAAGGCCCCCACUAUUUCUUCAGCGGCUGCAGUUAGGCGCUCGUUGAUAAACCGUCUAAGGUCCUGAAUUGAAGACAUUGUUGAUUUGUUACAAUUAAAAUAUUUAUCUGAAAUACGACAAAUAUUUUCAACUAAACCCUAAUCCAAAUUUAAGGAUAAUGGCGCCUCUUUUUCUUCUUUUUUUUCUAACUUCCGCCGGGUGUCACACUGUGAAGUUCCGGUAGUGAAAAUAGUCUCGUUCGAGAUGAACUGUACUUCGCCUUGGACGCGGACAAGAAUUUUACCUGUUGCACAUACUAAAGUGGAAGAUAAUGAGACAGACGUAUCCUCAAGUCACCAUAAUAAAUAAUACAUUUUGUUUUGCAUUAACUGGGUGCCUGAGGUGCCGUGGCACAAGAACAGCUGUAGGGUGAGUCACAUUCACAUCUCCUGUUCCCAUCAGCUUACAGCUUAAUAGAUACAGCCUCUUUAAAUUAAUGUAACAAACAGAUGAAUGAGUGAACAUACUGAUUUUUUCUUCAGUCCAGUUCAGGCUCACUAGGGCAGCUCUGCUCUUUAUUUACCUGCAGUCAUGAUGAAUCUUAGUGUCAAAGCUCCACUGAUGACGGCUUUUUAUAGUCAUCAUCACAGGCUUAGCUCUGAGUUAACUGAAGCUUUAAUGAUGUCUGAAAACACUGGGAAGGGUGUCAAAUCAAUCUGAGCACAACAAUUCUUUAAUGUUUUUAUUUCCACAGUAAGUAAGGCUGCACAAAGUUUAGUUAAUAAUAAUAUUAAGACAUACUGUGUGCUUUUUUUCUAUAUGUGUACAUGAAGCCACAACUAACUGUUACUGCUUUGGUGUCUGCUGUAUACGUGGCUGUAGCAUAACUGAUCUAGUCGUUUCAUACCAGUCACUGCUUCUCUUUUUUUGGAUCAAGAGAAGUCCAUCAUGUGAAUGUCUCUCCGUGACUGGACUGAAAACAAGACUGGGAUUCAUCUCCAGCUGGCCAUCUCUGACCCUCCACCUCCAGCGCUGACAUCUGUCUGGAGCGAGAACACAGCGCAGCCACAGGCAGGACUCCUG